rnacentral:lncRNA from 1 species
CUGGCUUUCAGCUGGGUUGGACCCCAGGCACGCCUCACCAGAUGGCAACAUCAGGGUUAUCGCUUUGUAAAUAAACAGGAAAGCCCAGCCAGGAUCAGAAAGGAAGGAAAGGACCGCCCAUCUGGUGGCAAUAUACACAGGCUGGCCCGCACUGUGAAACUACAUCCUCAGAGAUGUGUGUGCCUCUGUUCCUGCGCAGGAGACCAGGCUGCUCACAGGACCCGUGUGACGCACACAACAUUCACCCUCAGCAGACGAUGCCCCGCAAGGCCAUCCGCCGUCACCAAGCGCUGCCCAAGGAACGGCCAACUCCCCGCAUCUACUACACAGAGGCGACGAAACCCCCUAGCAAAGGCCACAUCCAGCCUCCUCCUGCGUGCCUAUCCGGGCAGCAGCGGAUUUUCUUUCUCCCCGCUGCACCGCCAGCCGACACGGAAGCAGAGCGGCUCCGCAUUCCGAGCUCAGCGCGAUCCCUGGAGGCACGCAGGACGCGCCCGCCGCCCCCCGCAGGCGCAGAGGGCUUUUCCUUUGUUUGCAGCCGGCCGGAAAGCCGCGCCCCUUCCCGCUGCGAGCCCGCGGGCUGUUAGCGGCACAUCCCGGCCGCCGAACUCACACCGCCGAGCCCGGCCCAGCCCCGAGCCGUCCCUCACGGGCAGGGAGCGAACCGCCCGCCCUGCGGGGAGGCCGCGCCCGGGGGCGGGCUCAGAACGAGGCCCCGCCCCGCCGCCAUGGCAACCGCCCGUCGCCGCCACGCGCGCGCGCCCCUCUCUCCUUCCCCUCGUCCCCCUUCACCCAUCGCUCGACCCCCCCCCCGACCCCACGCCCCCCUUCCUCGCUCUGCUCGAGCGCAGAAAGGAUCGCGUCCCCCUCCCCGCUCCGCCGGCGCCGGGAACACGCACCCCGCUCCUCCCAGGUAAUGGCGGGGCGGCUCCCUCAGGGCGCGGAGGAGCCGCGGGGCACUGCGGCCUGACAACGUCCGCCCCGACGGCGCUGCCCGUGCCGCUGCGCCGGGGGCGGCCGUGGGCUGAGGGUGGGGGCGGCCUGCCGCGGGGCAUGCUGGGAAGCGUAGUCCCGCGGCGCCCGGCGCCGAGCGGAGAAGCGGCGGGUGGAGACUACAACGCCCGGCGCGCUCCUCUGCUGUGCCGCGGGAGGAUCGGCGCUUUGCCCUCGCGCAGGGGAGCGCUGUGA